UACAGAGGCUGCAAGCGUUGUUCGGAUUCACUGGGCGUAAAGGGUGCGCAGGCGGCCAAGUGUGUUAGGCGUGAAAGCCCGGAGCUUAACUCCGGAAUUGCACCUCAAACUACAUGGCUAGAGCAUUGGAGAGGGUAGCGGAAUUCACGGUGUAGCAGUGAAAUGCGUAGAUAUCGUGAGGAACACCAGAGGCGAAGGCGGCUACCUGGACAAUUGCUGACGCCCAGGCACGAAAGCGUGGGGAGCAAAAGGG
rnacentral:rRNA from 1 species